rnacentral:lncRNA from 1 species
GCAGGAGGUUAGCAAGCUGAGGGAAGUUGCGACUGGUGAACAAGACGGAGCAAGGAUGCUGGAAAGUGAUUUGGCUGACAAUCGCAAAUAGAUCAGGAUGCUCAAUAGUGGAUCCAAAGACUUGGAUAAGAUACUCUCGAUGAGACAACCAGUCAAGGUGAACUGGGGACUGGGAUAUCGAGGAUCUGAGACUACUAAGGA